rnacentral:rRNA from 1 species
CCUACGGGCGGCUGCAGUGGGGAAUAUUGCACAAUGGGGGAAACCCUGAUGCAGCGACGCCGCGUGAGUGAAGAAGUAUCUCGGUACGUAAAGCUCUAUCAGCAGGGAAGAACAUGACGGUAACUGACUAAGAAGCCCCGGCUAACUACGUGCCAGCAGCCGCGGUAAUACGUAGGGGGCAAGCGUUAUCCGGAUUUUAUGGGUGUAAAGGGAGCGUAGACGGUAGCACAAGGCUGGGGUGAAAUCCCGGGGCUUAACCCCGGAACUGCUUUGGAGACUGGGCGGCUGGAGUGAGGGAGGGGUAAGCGGAAUUCCAAGUGUAGCGGUGAGAUGCGUAGAUAUUAGGAGGAACACCAGAGGCGAAGGCGGCUUACUGGACUGUAACUGACGUUGAGGGUCGAAAGCGUGGGGAGCAAACAGGAUUAGAUACCCGGGUAGUC